UGGGGAAUUUUGCACAAUGGGGGAAACCCUGAUGCAGCGACGCCGCGUGAUUUAGAAGGCCUUCGGGUUGUAAAAAUCUUUUUUACGGGAUGAAAAUGACAGUACCGUAAGAAUAAGGUCCGGCUAAAUACGUGCCAGCAGCCGAGGUAAUACGUAUGGACCGAGCGUUGUCCGGAAUCAUUGGGCGUAAAGGGUACGUAGGCGGCCUAAUAAGUUAGAAGUGAAAGAAUAUAGCUCAACUAUAUAAAGCUUUUAAAACUGUUAGGCUUGAGAGAUGAAAGGGAAAGUGGGAUUCCUAGUGUAGCGGUGAAAUGCGCAGAUAUUAGGAAGAAUACCGGUGGCGAAGGCGACUUUCUGGUCAUCAUCUGACGCUGAGGUACGAAAGCGUGGGUAGCAAACAGG
rnacentral:rRNA from 1 species